AUCAUAUGAGGUCGGAAACGGUUCCCGACACACUCCAUCUGGAGUACCUGAGAUGCUGGAUACACCGCCCAGCCAUAUGAU
rnacentral:ncRNA from 12 species